GUGCUUGCUUCGGUAGCACAUAUACUAAAUUUGGUAUGAUACGGAGAAGAUAGCAUGGCCCCUGUGCAAGGAUGACACGCAAAUUCAUGAAGUGUUCCAUAUUUUU